CCGACGGUGAGGGACGAAAGCUGGGGGAGCAAACCGGAUUAGAUACCCGGGUAGUCCCAGCUGUAAACGAUGCGCGUUAGGUGUGUCAGUGACCACGUGUCACUGAUGUGCCGAAGGGAAACCGUGAAGCGCGCCGCCUGGGGAGUACGGUCGCAAGGCUGAGACUUAAAGGAAUUGGCGGGGGAGCACCACAACGGGUGGAGCCUGCGGUUUAAUCGGACUCAACGCCGGAAAUCUCACCGGAUAA
rnacentral:rRNA from 1 species